rnacentral:lncRNA from 1 species
AUGUAUUCCAACAGGAUGGGGAUUUGGAUCAGAACAGGAGAUGACCAAGGCCCCAUAUGGACGGGGGCAAACAGCAGCCAUGUGAAUGGGGUUCUGGGGAGAAUGAGGACCCUGGAAGCACCAGGAAAGGAUCCAGGCCUGGCUUCAUCAGGAGGUGAGCUUUUCCACCCUGGGGCUGUGAGAACAGCCCCUUCAUCCUGUCCAUGGAGAGGGACCUAGUGCCAAGUCCAGAAGUGGUCGCCUUGCAAAGCUGGCUCCUCUGGGAGUUUAUCAUCAAUAGCAUCAGGCGACCAAUAACUACAGGUUGGGAGGAAUUGCUUUCUGGCAGGUGAUGAGGGCACUCUCGCUUUAGGUUCAGCAAGACUAGAAUAGGAAGCUUUGAAGAAGAGUUUGGGAGAUUGCGAAGCUUAGUUGUCAAGGAAACCAGGUUUUUCAAGGAAACUUUUUUCUUUUUUCUUUCUUUUUUUUUUUUUUUUGUCUUUUGUCUUUUUGCCUUUUCUAGGGCCACUCCCGUGGCAUAUGGAGGUUCCCAGGCUAGGGGUCUAAUUGGAGCUGUAGCCACCAGCCUACACCAGAGUCACAGCAACUCGAGAUCUGAGCCACGUCUGUGACCUACACCACAGCUCAUGGCAACGCCUGAUCCUUAACCCACUGAGCAAGGCCCGGGAUUGUAUCCGCAACCUCGUGGUUCCUAGUGGGAUUCGUUAACCACUGAGCCACGAUGGGAAUUCCCAAGGAGACUUCUUUAAGCUGAAGGCAGAGCUUGGGGGAAUGGUGCCCUGAAGCACCAUUACCUGUGCGGUGGUCUCAGCACAGACUGUGGUUUGAGAAAAGUGUGAUGGAACGAAGCCUGACUUUCUGUUACAGGUAGGGAGGGCUUUGUAAAGCACUUUGGCUUUUAGGGCAGAAGUUUGUUACUGGAACAAAGUGCCUCCUCUCCCAAAUGGGCUGAAGCUCAAGAUGUCUCUGUCCCCUUCAUGGGAGAGUCCAGGGCAGGUAGGUAUUGGGGCACAGGCUCUGUCCCACUUGUUUCUUCCCACUGCUUCUGGGAGGAGGACCCCAGCCAGCAAGGUGGAGGGUGUGACCACGUGGGCACAAUGCCCUCUGUCUAGGACGUAGGCUGGCCAAACCCCUCCCUCCACCACUUCCCCUUGGUAACAGGAGACACUGUGCCCCAGCUGCAAGGGGUGGGCAGGCUGGGAGAUGCAGGGAGGCGAGC